rnacentral:rRNA from 1 species
UACGUAGGUGGCAAGCGUUGUCCGGAAUCACUGGGCGUAAAGCGCGCGCAGGCGGCGGUCUACGUCUGGGGUGAAAGCCCGGAGCUCAACUCCGGGACUGCCUUGGAUACGGGAUCGCUUGAGGAUUGGAGAGGCAAGGGGAAUUCCACGUGUAGCGGUGAAAUGCGUAGAUAUGUGGAGGAACACCUGUGGCGAAGGCGCCUUGCUGGCCAAUUUCUGACGCUGAGGCGCGAAAGCGUGGGGAGCAAACAGG